GACGAACGCUGGCGGCGUGCCUAAUACAUGCAAGUAGAACGCACAGUUUAUACCGUAGCUUGCUACACCAUAGACUGUGAGUUGCGAACGGGUGAGUAACGCGUAGGUAACCUGCCUGGUAGCGGGGGAUAACUAUUGGAAACGAUAGCUAAUACCGCAUAAUAUUAAUUAUUGCAUGAUAAUUAAUUGAAAGGUGCAAUUGCACCACUACCAGAUGGACCUGCGUUGUAUUAGCUAGUAGGUGAGGUAACGGCUCACCUAGGCGACGAUACAUAGCCGACAUGAGAGGGUGAUCGGCCAGACUGGGACUGAGACACGGCCCAGACGCCUUCGGGAGGCAGCAGUAGGGAAUCUUCGGCAAUGGACGAAAGUCUGACCGAGCAACGCCGCGUGAGUGAAGAAGGUUGUCGGGUCGUAAAGCUCUGUUGUAAGAGAAGAACGGGUGUGAGAGUGGAAAGUUCACACUGUGACGGUAUCUUACCAGAAAGGGACGGCUAACUACGUG
rnacentral:rRNA from 1 species